UCAGCAGACACAUCCCGGCCAAUCUGCAGCAGACCCUCCCUCCCAGACCCUCCUCCUCCAAUAUGGAUGAUGUCCAGGAGGUGGGAGGGUCUGGGAGGGAGGGUCUGCUGCAGAUUGGCCAGGAUGUGUCUGCUGA